rnacentral:rRNA from 1 species
UACGUAGGGCGCAAGCGUUAUCCGGAAUUAUUGGGCGUAAAGAGCUCGUAGGCGGUCUGUCGCGUCGGUCGUGAAAACUUGGGGCUUAACCCUGAGCUUGCGGUCGAUACGGGCAUGACUGGAGUUCGGCAGGGGAGACUGGAAUUCCUGGUGUAGCGGUGAAAUGCGCAGAUAUCAGGAGGAACACCGGUGGCGAAGGCGGGUCUCUGGGCCGGCAUUGACGCUGAGUGAGCGAAAGCCAGGGGAGCAAACGGG